UACGUAGGGUGCAAGCGUUAAUCGGAAUUACUGGGCGUAAAGCGCACGUAGGCGGAUAUUUAAGUCAGGGGUGAAAUCCCAGAGCUCAACUCUGGAACUGCCUUUGAUACUGGGUAUCUUGAGUAUGGAAGAGGUAAGUGGAAUUGCGAGUGUAGAGGUGAAAAUUCGUAGAUAUUCGCAGGAACACCAGUGGCGAAGGCGGCUUACUGGUCCAUAACUGACGCUGAGGUGCGAAAGCGUGGGGGAGCAAACAGG
rnacentral:rRNA from 1 species